rnacentral:rRNA from 1 species
GACGAACGCUGGCGGCGUGCUUAACACAUGCAAGUCGAACGGAAAGGCCCUGCUUUUGUGGGGUGUUCGAGUGGCGAACGGGUGAGUAACACGUGAGUAACCUGCCCUUGACUUUGGGAUAACUUCAGGAAACUGGGGCUAAUACCGGAUAGGAGCUCCUGCAGCAUGGUGGGGGUUGGAAAGUUUCGGCGGUUGGGGAUGGACUCGCGGGUAAUCAGCUUGUUGGUGGGGUAGUGGCUUACCAAGGCUUUGACGGGUAGCCGGCCUGGGAGGGUGACCGGCCACAUUGGGACUGAGGUACGGGCCAGACUCCUACGGGGGGCAGCAGUGGGGAGUAUUGCACAAUGGGCGGGAGCCUGAUGCAGCAACGCCGCGUGCGGGAUGACGGUCUUCGGGUUGGAAACCGCUUUCGCCUGUGACGAAGCGGGAGUGACGGUAAUGGGUAAAGAAGCACCGGCUAACUACGUG